UUUCCUAACUACUGUAAGUCGCUCUGGAUAAGAGCUUCUGCUAAAUGACUAAAA
rfam:Salmo salar isolate Sally breed double haploid chromosome ssa10, whole genome shotgun sequence.